GGUGUCGGUGGGGGUCUACAAAACCUGGGUGGGAUUACCGGCAUGGAUGGUUCGA
rnacentral:tRNA from 1 species